GUCUUACGAAUAUUACUGGGAUUACAAAGAUCCAAUCCCAGUAGAUGGAAGCAAGUUGAAGGUUAAUAAAUGUGCGUUGUCUGUCACUCGGCGUACCUUCCCAUCUAUCUGGAAGCUUCCACAGAGGGCGUCGGGUGAUUGGACAAGGGCCUGGAGUCCUUCCCUUGGUCCUCCCUAACUGGAUCCCUUGUCUGUCUAUCCUUGAGAGAGCUACUCCCAUGUUCUUCCCUAUUGGCUGGUUGGAUUUCCCUUCCCUCCCUUUAAAUGUUACUGUUUCAGAGCACUCUCUACCUCUCUUCUGCAGGAGCUGUUCAUGUUUGGUUGGCGUGUGAGGCUCUCCCUCACAGUCUGAAUAAAUUUGGAUUAAUCCCCA